rnacentral:piRNA from 2 species
UAGCAGUAGUUGAUAAGGUGUUAUAAUAU